ACAUCCGACUGCCUACGUUACAUCAACGGUUUAUUACGCAGAUCAACGACUCAGAUGAGAUGUUCUGCCGAGCAGACGCCGCUGGGUCUGCCAAUCCUCGCCCGCAAAACAUACCGCUUCGACGCCUCCCCGCGACCAGAUAAAAAACAGAAGCGAAGUGCGUAAUCCUCGCUCAGAUCCAGGCCCCUGCGUGUGAUUCCUCCCGCACCCGGGCGAGGUGGCUGCCGCGGAGCGGCCGGUGGCGGGCGGAGAUGCUCCUCACGGGCUGGCGUAUGGAUCCGCACCAUCGAGCUGUACCGGAGCUUCUCCGACGAUCCUUGGCGGCGACCAUGGCGUAGCGGAGCGAAGGGUGCCGGCAGCCCAGUGUCAGCGCGCAGGGGAAGAUUCACUUCACGGCCGGCGUCCGGAUCCGCGUCAUCGAGCUGUGCCGGAGGUUCUCAGGGUGGUGGCGCGCUGCCCAGUGAGCACGACCAUGGGCGAAUCCAAGGGAGCACGAGAUAACCCCUGCUGCUUUCGCUUCCAAGAGUCCCAUCCUCGCACAAGAGCUCCGUGGCCACAAUUUUCAGGCGUCUUUUGCUUCUUCUUCCUUUGGAUCCCUAGCUAGCAAUUCUGCAUCUCACCAUUCACUAGCAGCAACACAUUGAUUUAGCUGUAGCCAAUGCAGACGGUGGGUGGUACAGAUCACUAGCUAGCCGAGUUUGCCUCUUCCUCUGAAUUUCUCCUCAUUCACUAGCAGGAUGUAGUGUGAUUCUUAAAGAAAACGUAUUCACGAGAGCCCACUGUAUUAGUCUCUCCCUGCUCCUAUACUCCAUGCAUCGGUUCAUCCAUAUGUGAUCUUAUUUUGUUUCAGUCUUUUGCUAGAUUUAACAUUGGCCUUCGUUCAAAUCCUAUCCAGGUUGAACCAUUGAAAGCGAGCAGCUGAGCACACAAAGCUGCAGAGGCAACAACUCCAAAGGAAUCAGUACGGUGAUGUGUUUUCAGUAUUCCUAAAAUAAAUGAAGGGAACAUAUAUUGGUGUUUGAUGGGCAGAUCAAAUUUGUCAUCGUGAUUUGGAAUCCCAUGUUGACACUUUCCCAAAGUUUGACAAGCUUUACAAUAUUUUGCUACAUAGACAAAGUCAAUUAAGGAACUAGCGAGCGUUAGCCUGAAGAUUCACCAUCAUUUAAGUGUUCAUGAGCAGGCUACCAUGGCCACCCCAGAUAACCUUGAAGCAGUGUGCCAUGAUCGUGCCGCUUGAACAAAAACUGUAUAUGCUUUGGAAUUUUAUCAGAAGGCAUCUGAAGUAAAAAUAGUAGGAACUUCAAGUUGCCCAUCUUUUAAUUUAGUGUUACUCACAUUUAGGUCUAUCCAAUUGACAGACUUGCAUUGGCAUCUAUUGCCCAUCUUUAAAUUUAGUGUUUCUCACAUUUAGGCUUAUCCAUCACAGACUUGCAUUGGCAACUGUAGGCAGGAGGCAACAAAAUAGUAGUUGGUCCCACGGAAUAUAAUAAAUUGAGUACAGUGCUGCUGUUAGUCUACCAUUCAAGGGCAUGAUCAUAACCAAUGUACUGUUAAUAAGCAUGUAAAUCAUUUUUAUUGA